UUAGUGGCAGACGGGUGAGUAACAUGUGGGUAUCUACCCUUUGGCCUGGAAUAACACGAGGAAACUUGUGCUAAUACCGGAUAAGUCUUUACGGAGAAAGCUUUAUGCACCAUUGGAUGAGCCCGCACUUGAUUAGUUUGUUGGUAGGGUAAUGGCCUACCAAGACUAUGAUCAAUAGCUGAUUUGAGAGGAUGAUCAGCCACAUUGGGACUGAGACACGGCCCAAACUCCUACGGGAGGCAGCAGUGGGGAAUCUUGCACAAUGGAGGAAACUCUGAUGCAGCGAUGCCGCGUGAGUGAAGAAGGCCUUUGGGUUGUAAAGCUCUUUCGUCGGGGAAGAAAAUGACUGUACCCGAAUAAGAAGGUCCGGCUAACUUCGUGCCAGCAGCCGCGGUAAUACGAAGGGACCUAGCGUAGUUCGGAAUUACUGGGCUUAAAGAGUUCGUAGGUGGUUGAAAAAGUUGGUGGUGAAAUCCCAGAGCUUAACUCUGGAACUGCCAUCAAAACUUCUCAGCUAGAGUAUGAUA
rnacentral:rRNA from 1 species